AGCAGCAACGCCGCGUGAGGGAUGACGGCCUUCGGGUUGUAAACCUCUUUUCUCAGGGAAGAUAAUGACGGUACCUGAAGAAUAAGCCACGGCUAACUACGUGCCAGCAGCCGCGGUAAUACGUAGGUGGCAAGCGUUGUCCGGAUUUACUGGGCGUAAAGAGCGCGCAGGCGGCCAGGUCAGUCGAAUGUGAAAGCCCCCGGCUCAACUGGGGAAGGUCGUUCGAUACUGCCUGGCUCGAAGAUAGGAGAGGGAAGUGGAAUUUCAGGUGUAGUGGUGAAAUGCGUAGAUAUCUGAAGGAACACCAGUGGCGAAGGCGACUUUCUGGCCUAUUCUUGACGCUGAGGCGCGAAAGCUAGGGGAGCGAACGGGAUUAGAUACCCUGGUAGUCCACGCCGUAAACGAUGUCGACUAGCCGUUGGAGGACUUAGAUCUUUUAGUAGCGCAGCUAACGCGAUAAGUCGACCGCCUGGGGAGUACGGCCGCAAGGUUAAAACUCAAAUGAAUUGACGGGGGCCCGCACAAGCGGUGGAGCAUGUGGUUUAAUUCGAAGCAACGCGAAGAACCUUACCACCCCUUGACAUCCUGCGAACUUGUGAGAGAUCACUUGGUGCCUUCGGGAGCGCAGAGACAGGUGCUGCAUGGCUGUCGUCAGCUCGUGUUGUGAAAUGUUGGGUUAAGUCCCGUAACGAGCGCAACCCUCAUUUUUAGUUGCCUUAU
rnacentral:rRNA from 1 species